rnacentral:sRNA from 2 species
AUGGCAGUGUGUUGAUCCACGGUAGGUUGGCAAUUUCUGCUGACCUUGGAAUGCUUCGGGGUUGACGUGCUAGAUUUAGUGCUACGGACAGCUCUUUUUCAUUAGCAUUUGAGUUCCUUUUGCCAUGGGUUUCUCUCAAAUGGCUACCACUUUCCCCUUUGCUUCCUUUUCUUUCUCUAGGUUAUCCACCGAUAUAUAUAGAUAUAUAACUCAUUCAUUCAUCAUCUACUUUCUAUGUCAACGUUAUCAUCAUUCGGUCCAAAAGGAGAAAAAAAGGAAGAAACCGAAGAGAAGAGAAAAUGAAUGAAAGCAAGAAAACGAUGUAAACCACAGCCACAGAAACCCAAACCAAAAUAUAUAUUCCAUUCGUCUGUUCGUAUGUCGGCCGUGUACUCUAAAAGGUUCUUAGUGGUCAAGAGAGAUGGGGGGAAAAAGGAAAGAAAUUCGCGAACACCAAAAAAAUAUGACAGAGUACGAUUGACAGGUUAAAAAAAAUGAAGGUCACCUAGACAAACAAUCCUAUCACAAAAAUGUCUUUUUUACCUUUGUUUUCUAAGGCAAUGCAAGUUCAUCAUCAUCAUCGUCAACGUCGUCAUCAUUCCAUCCCAACUGGUCAUAUAUAGACUUCUCUGGCGUGGCGUCUGCUGUAACAAUAUCAGUAUUGGCCAUGGGAUGGGUGCUGUGGUCGUCUCCAGGUGUAAACCCAGCAGCAGCAGCAACUGUGUUCUUUAUGGGUGUCGUGAAAAUUAUGGCACCUUGGUUGCGUUUUACUUGGAUCUCAUUAUGGCGGGAGAGAGAUGGAGAUAUAAUAGUUUCUGGGGGCUGGAGGUAGGAGGGAAAUCCUGCGCGGGGCGGCGUUUCUUGGAUCGAGGAAGUUACGUUAUUGAUAUGUAUAAAGGGAAGGUGAUUAUUAAUUUUAUUAUUACUGUUGGUUCCGUCGUUGGUGUUACCGCAGUGGGCAAAGUUGGGAUGUGAUCUCGUUUUCCGCAAUGUACUCGGCGACAUUUCUUGUUGCUGCAUGAAUGCCCUACUCGUUUCCGGAAGCUUGGGGACUUUGAAGACUUUGAAUAAAUUGCCGGUUUGCCUGGGGAGCGGUGUCGAAUCGAAGUCAUUAUCAGUCAAUAUCCCGCUGUUCGACGGGCCCGAUGAGAGUCGUGUAGAUGAUCUUGUGGGCGUCUCGUGAAUAGAGCUGUGACGGGC